GGGCGGCGAUGUCGAUAUGGAGGUUGUGCCCUUGAGGCGUGGCUUCCGGAGCUAACGCGUUAAAUCGACCGCCUGGGGAGUACGGCCGCAAGGUUAAAACUCAAAUGAAUUGACGGGGGCCCGCACAAGCGGUGGAGCAUGUGGUUUAAUUCGAUGCAACGCGAAGAACCUUACCUGGUCUUGACAUCCACAGAACUUUCCAGAGAUGGAUUGGUGCCUUCGGGAACUGUGAGACAGGUGCUGCAUGGCUGUCGUCAGCUCGUGUUGUGAAAUGUUGGGUUAAGUCCCGCAACGAGCGCAACCCUUAUCCUUUGUUGCCAGCGGUCCGGCCGGGAACUCAAAGGAGACUGCCAGUGAUAAACUGGAGGAAGGUGGGGAUGACGUCAAGUCAUCAUGGCCCUUACGACCAGGGCUACACACGUGCUACAAUGGCGCAUACAAAGAGAAGCGACCUCGCGAGAGCAAGCGGACCUCAUAAAGUGCGUCGUAGUCCGGAUUGGAGUCUGCAACUCGACUCCAUGAAGUCGGAAUCGCUAGUAAUCGUAGAUCAGAAUGCUACGGUGAAUACGUUCCCGGGCCUUGUACACACCGCCCGUCACACCAUGGGAGUGGGUUGCAAAAGAAGUAGGUAGCUUAACCUUCGGGAGGGCGCUUACCACUUUGUGAUUCAUGACUGGGGUGAAGUCGUACAAAGGGGGGAACCACAA
rnacentral:rRNA from 1 species